rnacentral:tRNA from 1 species
GCAUCGGUGGUUCAGCGGUAGAAUGCUCGCCUGCCACGCGGGCGGCCCGGGUUCGAAUCCCGGCCCAUGCA